rnacentral:rRNA from 1 species
CCUACGGGAGGCAGCAGUAGGGAAUCUUCCGCAAUGGACGAAAGUCUGACGGAGCAACGCCGCGUGAACGAUGAAGGCCUUCGGGUCGUAAAGUUCUGUUGUUAGGGAAGAACAAGUGCUAGUUGAAUAAGCUGGCACCUUGACGGUACCUAACCAGAAAGCCACGGCUAACUACGUGCCAGCAGCCGCGGUAAUACGUAGGUGGCAAGCGUUGUCCGGAAUUAUUGGGCGUAAAGCGCGCGCAGGCGGUUUCUUAAGUCUGAUGUGAAAGCCCCCGGCUCAACCGGGGAGGGUCAUUGGAAACUGGGAAACUUGAGUGCAGAAGAGGAAAGUGGAAUUCCAAGUGUAGCGGUGAAAUGCGUAGAGAUUUGGAGGAACACCAGUGGCGAAGGCGACUUUCUGGUCUGUAACUGACGCUGAGGCGCGAAAGCGUGGGGAGCAAACAGGAUUAGAUACCCUGGUAGUCCACGCUGUAAACGAUGAGUGCUAAGUGUUAGAGGGUUUCCGCCCUUUAGUGCUGAAGUUAACGCAUUAAGCACUCCGCCUGGGGAUACGGUCGCAAGACUGAAAACUCAAAAGGAAUUGACGG